UCUCCGUAGGUGAAACUGCGGAGGGAUCAUUACUGAGUGAGGGCUUCGGUCCGGCAUCCAACCCUUUGUGAACCAAACUUGUUGCUUCGGGGGCGACCCUGCCGCUUCGGCGGUGCGGCGCCCCCGGAGGCCAUUAAAAACUGCAUCAUUGCGUCGGAGUUAAAGUAAAUUAAACAAAACUUUCAACAACGGAUCUCUUGGUUCCAGCAUCGAUGAAGAACGCAGC
rnacentral:misc_RNA from 1 species